rnacentral:rRNA from 1 species
AGUAGGGAAUCUUCCACAAUGGGCGCAAGCCUGAUGGAGCAACGCCGCGUGAGUGAAGAAGGUCUUCGGAUCGUAAAACUCUGUUGUUAGAGAAGAACACGAGUGAGAGUAACUGUUCAUUCGAUGACGGUAUCUAACCAGCAAGUCACGGCUAACUACGUGCCAGCAGCCGCGGUAAUACGUAGGUGGCAAGCGUUGUCCGGAUUUAUUGGGCGUAAAGGGAACGCAGGCGGUCCUUUAAGUCUGAUGUGAAAGCCUUCGGCUUAACCGGAGAUGUGCAUUGGAAACUGGAAGACUUGAGUGCAGAAGAGGAGAGUGGAACUCCAUGUGUAGCGGUGAAAUGCGUAGAUAUAUGGAAGAACACCAGUGGCGAA